UGGAGCUGGUACUAAGACCCAGGACUUCUGGGGCUUGAAGACCCUGGGUCUGCGGGAAGCCCCUGCUGAGCGUCCCUCGCCUACCCCGUGGCCAGUGGGUGAGUAGGGCUAGAUCUCCGCCCAUCUAGGUCCCCUUCUGCUCCAGCUCCAGCGUCUGACAUCCCAAGGAAGGAACGCAGGGUGGGGGCAUUUGAGCCGGACCUGAGCCAUCCUCAUGGUUUUCAAAAAGUAGCCUUAUUGUGGUGUAAUUGACAGACGCUUUUCAGUGCAGAAACCACCUUAUCUAUGUGACAAAGCUCGGGCCAUCAGUGGCAAGGUAGAUUGGCAUCACGUACCUUUGAUACAACAACCUGAGAAGGACGUCACUUCUGCGAUAUUCCUGCCAAAAAUGCAUCUCCGCAUUCCGAUCGUGAGAACAUCCUGGGCACACCCAAACUGAGAGACACCAUACAAAGUGACUGGUCAGUGCACUCAAAGGCAAAAAGCUCAUGGAAGGCAACAGAAGACAGGAGAAGUGACAGCUAAAAGCAGCGUGGAAUCCUGGAAGGGACAAAGAACACGAGCAGAGAAACUGUAGAAGCUGAGUGAGGGCAGCGGUCCAGCUUGCGCUGUUUUGCUGGGCCUCAGGUUUUCCUUAGGAUUCCGUGUGUGUUCCCCGCCUGGCCCCUCCGCAGCGACUCUGCUGUCAGUGGCUGCCCCAGGGUGGAGAGUGACCUACCUCCGGCUUCUCCUGUCCCGGCUUCUCCUGUGCCAGCCGGUCAGGCACACUGACAAACUUAGCCUUCCGUUCUGUUGGUCUGUGAUGACCGUUUCCACGUCCUGCUUUCUGAGAGCAUUUGCCUGGUGUAGACGUCCCCGUUUUCAGCGGUUAUGCGUCCCUCUAGUUUCGGUGAUGCCCUGAGGUUUACUUCCUGCAUUUUUAAGCCCACGUUUCCCCAGCACUCAUGUGUGGCCAGCGUCUGAUUCUUCCUCCAGAGCAAGACAGGGAAGCCACUGCACUUCAGCUGCCUUCACAAGUCUCCUCUGCCACCCCCGCUGAGGCCGUCUGGAAGUUUAAUUCUAGGCUAUUAUUAAAUUUCUAUAAAAUUGUUUCAACUUUACUGAGAUAUAAUUCACAAAUAGGAAUUGUGUAUAGUUAAGGUGUAUGACUUGAUGUUCUGAUACACGCUGUGAAUGAUCACUGCAGUCAAGCUAUUUCACAUGCUCACACCUCACAGUGACUACCAAGUUGGUGAAAAGAGUAACUGCGGUGUUUGCAAUUAGAAGCAAUUAUUUUUGCACCAACCUAAAAUAUUUUCUUUUUUUUUUUUUUUUUGUCGCCCAGCCUGGACUGCCGUGGUGAAAUCUUGGCUCACUGCAGCCUCUGCUUCCCAGGUUCAAUCAAUCUUGCCACCUCAGCCUCCCCAGUAGCUGGGACUAUGGGCACGUGCCACCAUGUCCAGCUAGUUUUUUUUGUUUUUUUUUUUUUUUGUAUUUUUAGUAGAGAUGGGGUUUCGCCAUGUUGCCCAGACUGGUCUUGAACUCCUGGCCUCAAGUGAUCCACCCACCGUCGGCCUCCCAAAGUGCUGGGAUUACAGGCAUGAGCCACCGCACCAGCUUCUUUUAUUUUCUUUGUGUGUGUUGAGAACACUUAAGAUCUAUCCUCUCAGCCCAUGUCCAGCAUCCAGUACAGCAUUGUUAACCAUGGCCACCUAGGACAGCGCUCCCCAGAAACUGAAUUUGCCAGCACCUUGAUCGUGGACUUCCAGCCUCCAGAACAGCGAGAAGAAUCGCUUCUAGGUUUUGACCAGCCGGCCUGUGGCAUUUUGCUACAACAGCCUGGGCAGCCUGCAGUGCUCUGUGCUUUGUUCUCUUUCAUUUUGUUUUGUUUUCUGUAAUUCACCUUUGAGAAACUCGUUCAGGAAGGAUGCAUGGGUGACAUUUUCUGCAUCCUCACAUUUUGUCACUGGGUGUGGCCGGGUCUGUGAGUCUAGACACAAAGCCAGUCACCUGGGGACGCUGCCACCUGAAGGCCUGCGUGGCCGGGUCUGUGACUGUAGACACAAAGCCAGUCACCUGGGGACGCUGCCACCUGAAGGCCUGCGUGGCCGGGUCUGUGACUCUAGACAAAAAGCCAGUCACCUGGGAACUCUGGGACACCCUCUUCUCUCACCCAUUGCUGUGGGGAAGCCUGGGGAUGGGUUUUCUUGUUUUGGUUUUUUAUCAUGUUGGUGUUUUGUUUUGUUUUUUUUUUGAGAUGGAGUUUCCCUCUUGUCUCCCAGGCUAGAGUGCAAUGGCGUGAUCUCGGCUCACUGCAACCUCCGCCUCCUGGGUUCAAGCGAUUCUCCUGCCUCAGCCUCCUGAGUAGCUGGGAUUACAGGCAUGCACCACCACGCCUGGCUAAUUUUUGUAUUUUUAGUAGAGACGGGGUUUCACCAUGUUGGUCAGGCUGGUCCCGAACUCCUGACUUCAGGUGAUCCACGCACCUCGGCCUCCCAAAGUGCUGAGAUUACAAGCAUGAGCCAUCGCACCCAGCCCAUAGUGGUUUUUAAAUCUUUCCUUUUGCCCUCAUUGUUCUAAAAUUUUAUGAAGAUGAAGACAUAUCUCGUGUCUCAUUCACGGAGAGCCGAUUCUGUAACAGCCGCUGCUCUGGGCGCCGGGAGAAACCGUGAGGAGCAGGCAGAGCUUCCGUCGCGGGGCCCACAGGGCCCAGGUGUGCAUUAUUUCCCUCCCAUCAAUCCUGUUCUUCUUCUGAAACUCUCAGUGUGCAGAUGUUGGAAUGUCUGGCUUCGUCCUCCAUUUCCUUUUUUUUUUUUUUCAUACUUUCCCUCUAUCUCGCUCUGCUGUGUACAAAAAAACUUGGGCAUUUUCAAGUACAAAGCAAAGGAAGCAAUAAAGCAUCCCCAGAUAUUUGAGGAAAGCUGACAUCACAAAGUGGAGAAUUCCUUGACUGUGUGUUCCAGGCACAAGUUCGUUCUUCAGCCUUUUCUUCCUGUUAUUCACCCCAUCACUUUUUAAUUUUUUUUGGAUGUCACAUUUUUCAUAUUUAUAUUUUCAGUUCCGUUUUUAAGGCUGUAUCUUCUCUAUGGAUAAAUAAACCUGUGAAGACGUA
rnacentral:lncRNA from 1 species